rnacentral:rRNA from 1 species
CCUACGGGAGGCAGCAGGGGGGAAUAUUGGACAAUGGGCGAAAGCCUGAUCCAGCCAUGCCGCGUGUGUGAAGAAGGUCUUCGGAUUGUAAAGCACUUUAAGUUGGGAGGAAGGGCAGUAAGUUAAUACCUUGCUGUUUUGACAUUACCAACAGAAUAAGCACCGGCUAACUUCGUGCCAGCAGCCGCGGUAAUA